CAGUCACUCACCCGGCCGCUAGCUGCAAGCUACUAGUGCUACAAAAGAUAUCUAAAGAUAGCUAGUACUCCUUUCGUUACAUAAAGGUUGUCACGGCUCUGAACUAGCCGCACCAAGCUAGCAUGCAUCGACCAUGAUCCCGAUCGAUCGAUCGAUCGACGCGAUGUAUGGUGGUGGUGAGAGCAGUGGCACAUCCAUAUAUCCAUCCAAUUGCGCAUUUGCUAUCUGUGAGUUGCAUGUGUUGGGCCGGCCGGUACCCGCACGACUUGCUAAUUCGACCAUGUAGUACUGCUGCUAGCUCCUUCCCCUCGAUCCCCUGUGGCUCUGUGAUCUAUCCGUCGUAUAAUCGAACAUGGCAGAUCGAUUUGAUUGCGUAUAUACGCGCGUAGUUUGAGAUGCGUUCGAGAUGUAUUAAUUCAUCCUGGAUCACAUCGAUCACGACAUCCCAAUCUUUACAUUACGAGAUCGAUCGAUUGACCGCUACAUAGUAACUUGUCACUAACUAUACGCCCAUGAUAUGUAUCAUCCCCGUGUCAAUUCGUUCAUACGAUCUUUAGAAAAGAGAAGAAUAGUGCAAUACACGAUCCCCAUGUCUGUCAUACGUGUGUGAGCGUGAUCGCCUGAUUGAACGUGUCCAUGUCCAAGUUUCCAAAGGGGCAAGACAUUUGCACGAAACCCUGACAGCGACCUCUCGAUCAGUUUAUAUCUGUUGAUGCAUGCCCUAGCUAGCAUGUGUGUUAAGCUGUUGUUUUCACCGUCAGUGCUUUUGGGUUGUGAAAGAAACCUCACUUUCUGAGGUUGGAUUGAUGGUUUGCUUAGAUUUAUGCAAGAGAGAAAAGCCCUAACUUCUUAGUUUGGUUUUCCUUCUUGAAAGAAAGGGGCACGUUUUUUUUUUUUCCUUUUGUGGUCUUGUUUUUUUUUUAUAUAAACCGAUUGGGGACGGUUGCAUAGGUUUUCUUCAACCAAGGUUGAUGACGGUCCACUAAAAGACUCGACAUGGUUUAUUUGCUUCUUAUUACUCAUUUUCUGCUGGCCGAUUUUUGUUUCCACUCUGAGUGAUCCAUCAACUGUAAUCUCAGAGACUUUUGAACGUUCAAAUAAAAAUGUUUGUGCACCAUCGAUGCAGAGCCCUCCCUCCUCUUCCCGAGGAAACACCUUUUGAAGCCCCAUGUACAUGUACGACUGUUGUAGUUACAUUGAAACCAAUCUCUAUGAAAAGUUCGAGAGAUCAAAUAUAUCACGAGUCUUGCUCAUGUCACGGACCCAAACUAUCGUGUCACACUAAUUUCCAUGCGAGUCACUAGCUAUUUGGAACAUCCCUUUUGUUGCACGAUCACCAUUGACGGACACAAAAAAAAUCCGUCAGUAGCGUUGCGGCCUGUAACCGUUUUAUUUUGGUGGCGUCUCUGUGGCUUUGUUGAUCAAUGGAGCUCCAAGCCUAGUCAAGCUACAUGUUUUGAUCUUAUUUAUGGACUUCACCCAGUUUUCUAUUAUUAGACGGAAAAUGUUUUUUUCUUAACGAAUAGGCAGAGCUUCUUCUAGUUGUCUCAUUGGAAAAAAAAUGUCAUUGGUCAAAUUUUAUAUUUUGGCAUCUGAAUUCCAAUACCACGCAUAUUUUAGAUCAUAAACUUUGAAAGCAUACAAAAUUGGUCCCUGGCACGUAAGUCAACUAAAGUAGUAUGACAAAUCACAUGGCAGUGGUUUUGCACACGUGGCCGAGUUAGAAAAAAAUUGGGAAGAAAACAAUAUUGAAGGAAAAUUAAUAUAUAAAAAAUGGAACCUUGAAAACAAUAGGCUGA
rnacentral:lncRNA from 1 species